AUCAAGCUGAUGAAUCCAAUAUAGGACGAAACUCAAGUCCUAAAU
rnacentral:hammerhead_ribozyme from 1 species